rnacentral:tRNA from 1 species
GCCCUGGUGACGCAACGGUUAAGUGCUUGGCUGCUGACCAAAAGGCUGGUGGUUUGAACCCACCCAGUGGCU